GACGAACGCUGGCGGCGUGCUUAACACAUGCAAGUCGAGCGGAAAGGCCCUUUCGGGGGUACUCGAGCGGCGAACGGGUGAGUAACACGUGAGUAAUCUGCCCUUCACUUGGGGAUAACCUCCGGAAACGGUGGCUAAUACCCGAUACGACCAUUCCUCGCAUGAGGUGGUGGUGGAAAGUUUUUCGGUGGGGGAUGUGCUCGCGGCCUAUCAGCUUGUUGGUGGGGUAAUGGCCUACCAAGGCUUCGACGGGUAGCCGGCCUGAGAGGGUGACCGGCCACACUGGGACUGAGACACGGCCCAGACUCCUACGGGAGGCAGCAGUGGGGAAUAUUGGACAAUGGGCGGAAGCCUGAUCCAGCAACGCCGCGUGAGGGAUGACGGCCUUCGGGUUGUAAACCUCUUUCACCUGUGACGAAGCGAAAGUGACGGUAGCAGGAGAAGAGGCACCGGCCGACUACGUG
rnacentral:rRNA from 1 species